GCAAGUCGAGCGAUUUACUUCGGUAAAGAGCGGCGGACGGGUGAGUAACGCGUGGGUAACCUGCCCUAUACACACGGAUAACAUACCGAAAGGUAUGCUAAUACGGGAUAACAUAAGAGAUUCGCAUGGAUUUCUUAUCAAAGCUUUUGCGGUAUAGGAUGGACCCGCGUCUGAUUAGCUAGUUGGUAAGGUAACGGCUUACCAAGGCGACGAUCAGUAGCCGACCUGAGAGGGUGAUCGGCCACAUUGGAACUGAGACACGGUCCAAACUCCUACGGGAGGCAGCAGUGGGGAAUAUUGCACAAUGGGCGAAAGCCUGAUGCAGCAACGCCGCGUGAGCGAUGAAGGCCUUCGGGUCGUAAAGCUCUGUCCUCAAGGAAGAUAAUGACGGUACUUGAGGAGGAAGCCCCGGCUAACUACGUGCCAGCAGCCGCGGUAAUACGUAGGGGGCUAGCGUUAUCCGGAAUUACUGGGCGUAAAGGGUGCGUAGGUGGUUUCUUAAGUCAGAGGUGAAAGGCUACGGCUCAACCGUAGUAAGCCUUUGAAACUGAGAAACUUGAGUGCAGGAGAGGAGAGUAGAAUUCCUAGUGUAGCGGUGAAAUGCGUAGAUAUUAGGAGGAAUACCAGUUGCGAAGGCGGCUCUCUGGACUGUAACUGACACUGAGGCACGAAAGCGUGGGGAGCAAACAGGAUUAGAUACCCUGGUAGUCCACGCCGUANACGAUGAGUACUAGCUGUCGGNGGUUACCCCCUUCGGUGGCG
rnacentral:rRNA from 1 species